GAUGAAGAACGCAGUGAAAUGCGAUACUUGGUGUGAAUUGCAGAAUCCCGUGAACCAUCGAGUCUUUGAACGCAAGUUGCGCCCGAAGCCAUUAGGCCGAGGGCACGCCUGCCUGGGCGUCACACGUCGUUGCCCCCCCAUCUACUCCUUCGGGAUUGCGGGGGGCGGAUGAUGGCCUCCCGUGCGCCUCGUCGCGCGGUUGGCCUAAAUGCCAAGUCCUCGGCGACGCACGCCACGACAAUCGGUGGUUGCGAAACCUCGGUUGCCUGUCGUGUGCGGUCGUCGCGCAUCGAGGGCUCGAAAAAAUUGCCGGGCUCCGGCUCGACUUUCAACGCGACCCCAGGUCAGGCGGGGUUACCCGCUGAAUUUAAGCAUAUCAAUAAGCGGAGGA
rnacentral:misc_RNA from 1 species